rnacentral:rRNA from 1 species
CAAUAGCGUAUAUUUAAGUUGUUGCAGUUAAAAAGCUCGUAGUUGGAUUUCGGGUGGGACGCAGCGGUCUCGCAUUGCGUUUGUACUGCUGCAGCCCUUCUUCUUGCCGGGGGCGGCCUCUCGGACUUCACUGUCUGGGGGUCAGAAUCGGCGAUGUUACUUUGAGUAAAUUAGAGUGUUCAAAGCAAGCUUACGCUCUGAAUAUAAUAGCAUGGGAUAACACGACAGGACUCUGGCCUAUCGUGUUGGUCUAUAGGACCAGAGUAAUGAUUAAGAGGGACAGUCGGGGGCAUUCGUAUUCCGUUGUCAGAGGUGAAAUUCUUGGAUUUACGGAAGACGAACAUCUGCGAAAGCAUUUGCCAAGGAUGUUUUCAUUGA